ACUCAUUUUCGGUUUCAUUGUCU
rnacentral:snRNA from 1 species